ensembl:lncRNA
GUCCCUAGCUCCAGAUUUAGCCCUUCAUGAUUGAGCAGAUUACUGAGGCCCACCUCCGCCUCUUUCCUCCUCUGUCAAACCAAAGAGCUGCUCCUGAAACAAAGUCUGAAGAUUCUUUGAGAACUGAAUUGACAUGUAGCCCCUUGGUUGUCCCCUUCUGUAGGCUCUCCAGUAUUUACCCAUCUCCAAAGCUCUGAGUGUAGCUGUUGACGAAGUCCCUGAGGUUGGUCAGGAAAAUGAAAGUUUCCUGUUGAUGACACUGACCCUGACAUCCAGGGUUCUGCAUCUCCAGACUCUACGAAUGCCAGUGUUUCAGGGCCAAUGAGAACAGAAACUGCUUUCGUUCUGCCCCAACACACAACAGAAACAGAAGAACUGAAACCUCAGCUGAGGCUUCUGCUCUCGCAUUUCAGUAUCUCUUAUGACGUGGAAGAGCUGAGCGAUGCUUCUAAGGAGACAGAACUUUUUGCCUUGGUUUCCCCAAAAUUUCAAAGCAUCUUCAUGGAACAACAGAGAAUGCAAACGUUUCCAGACUAUAAUGCUGGGAUAGCUAAAGUGGAAAAUUUGAAUUUGGCAGGACCUCGUAGGGCCUUGAAAAAGGGAGCCAACUGGACUUCCUUUAUAAAGAUUAAGCCAAAAUGUGAUCCUUGGCAAAAGAAGCUUUUGACCAAACUAAAAGAACGGAGAAGAAUAGAUGUAUUAAUGCAACUCCAAGCAAAGUUUUUGAAGAUUUCCAAUCCUGAGCGAGUAAUGCAAGUGCUCCAGGAUCAUGCUGCAAAGACAGUCUUGCUGGCUUCAUCUCAUCCAACAUGUGUGGCUUCCCAGGGCAACUAUGACCAAAUCUGGGAGACUAUUUAUAGCAACAUCAACCUCUACCAGAAUGAAAACACUAAGGAAGAUGACCUUUCAGUGCAACGAGAUGAAAAUGACCCAGCACUAAUAAAUCUUAGCCAGUGUGCUAAUAAGCCUGUGAAGCAGAAGAAAGAGACAGGGUAAAAUGAAAUCACUUAAUGGUGACUCAAGAAAAUGGAUUAAACACUGGGAAAAAACUGAAUGAUUAAUAUGUCAGUUACAAGUUAACUAAAAAAUAUUUAAGGCUGAAAUAAAAGUAGUGUUAUAGCCGACCAGGUAACUAAUGUUUCACCCUAGGACUAAAUUUUUAAUGAGAGUGAUUGCUAAGAGAAAUUUCUUUUAAAUUUGUACAUAUAGAGCCAUUAUUUUCCUUCCAGUGGAUUUUAAGAGUAGCUAUUGUGAAAUUAAAUAAAAUGACUUUAGUAUGCUGUAUGUGAAUUUUCUCAACCACUUUGAGGUGAAAGGCAUUUGUUCUGUUUUUCCUGCCUGCUAAAGUUACAGUUAUGCAGUGGCCCUACAGCUGCUGGGCUUGGAUGACGGGACUGGGCCCAGUAACAGGGAUCCUGUCCUGAUGAGGGGGACCUACUUGUCCUUUCUGUAUCUGCGUCACCUGAGGAUCCGGGAGCUGCAGCGCAUCUGCUUAGGAAUUCUGAACUAUUUUAGAUCUGUUGAGCGAACACUGACGAUCAACACUUCAGGCCUUACCUUGGUUUCAGGGAGCCUGGUCCCUACCUCAGAAGACAGUUCCUGGGUAAAUAAAGCAAAAGGAGGCAUGGGCA